UAUUUGAUUUUCUUCGGAAAUGAAGAUUUUGUGACUGAGUGGCGGACGGGUGAGUAACGCGUGGGUAACCUGCCUCAUACAGGGGGAUAACAGUUGGAAACGACUGCUAAUACCGCAUAAGCGCACAGGAUUGCAUGAUCCGGUGUGAAAAACUCCGGUGGUAUGAGAUGGACCCGCGUCUGGUUAGCCAGUUGGCAGGGUAACGGCCUACCAAAGCGACGAUCAGUAGCCGACCUGAGAGGGUGACCGGCCACAUUGGGACUGAGACACGGCCCAAACUCCUACGGGAGGCAGCAGUGGGGAAUAUUGCACAAUGGGGGAAACCCUGAUGCAGCGACGCCGCGUGAGCGAAGAAGUAUUUCGGUAUGUAAAGCUCUAUCAGCAGGGAAGGAGAAUGACGGUACCUGACUAAGAAGCACCGGCUAAAUACGUGCCAGCAGCCGCGGUAAUACGUAUGGUGCAAGCGUUAUCCGGAUUUACUGGGUGUAAAGGGAGCGCAGGCGGUGCGGCAAGUCUGAUGUGAAAGCCCGGGGCUCAACCCCGGUACUGCAUUGGAAACUGUCGUACUAGAGUGUCGGAGGGGUAAGUGGAAUUCCUAGUGUAGCGGUGAAAUGCGUAGAUAUUAGGAGGAACACCAGUGGCGAAGGCGGCUUACUGGACGAUAACUGACGCUGAGGCUCGAAAGCGUGGGGAGCAAAC
rnacentral:rRNA from 1 species